rnacentral:lncRNA from 1 species
UCCAAUGCAUCUUCGUGUUCUCGGAUUUUGUCAUCCCACUUGGUGGUGUGGGUAUGGAUGCGGGUGAUCGUAGAGCGAAGGGAUGCUGACUUGUAUCUGAAGGGAUCUUUCGACCGCGCCGGUAUUGUCGCGGGGGUGUGCGUAGGCUUCUUGUGGGCCUUAGUAAUAUAUUCACCAUUUUCUGUAUGGACCCAUAGAUCUGAAAAAUGGAAGGCUAGCAUAGAACUCUGUUCUAGUUUGAGUUUAAGGACCAUGGUGUCAUCCGUCAAAUCUUGUAGUAGUUUUCUUUCAUCUUGUAUAUUCUGG